rnacentral:rRNA from 1 species
GUCGAACGAGAGACCUUCGGGUCUCUAGUGGCGAACGGGUGAGUAACACCUUAGGAACCUGCCCGCGCACCGGGAAUACGCUCUGGAAACGGAGAACAAAUCCCGAUGUACAGGAAGGAGGCAUCUUCUUUCUGUGAAACAUCCUUUAGGGGAUGGGGCGCGGAUGGACCUGCGGUGCAUUAGUUGGUUGGCGGGGUAAAGGCCCACCAAGACGAUGAUGCAUAGCCGGCCUGAGAGGGCGGACGGCCACAUUGGGACUGAGACACGGCCCAGACUCCUGCGGGAGGCAGCAGUAGGGAAUUUUCGUCAAUGGGCGCAAGCCUGAACGAGCGAUGCCGCGUGAGUGAAGAAGGCCUUCGGGUCGUAAAGCUCUGUUGCGGGGGAAAAAAGGCAGCAUCAGGAAAUGGGUGCUGACUGAUGGUGCCCCGCCAGAAAGUCACGGCUAACUACGUGCCAGCAGCCGCGGUAAUACGUAGGUGGCGAGCGUUAUCCGGAAUGAUUGGGCGUAAAGGGUGCGCAGGCGGUCCUGCAAGUCUGGAGUGAAACGCAUGAGCUCAACUCAUGCAUGGCUUUGGAAACUGGAGGACUGGAGAGCAGGAGAGGGCGGUGGAACUCCAUGUGUAGCGGUAAAAUGCGUAGAUAUAUGGAAGAACACCAGUGGCGAAGGCGGCCGCCUGGCCUGUUGCUGACGCUGAGGCACGAAAGCGUGGGGAGCAAAUAGGAUUAGAUACCCUAGUAGUCCACGCCGUAAA